ACUCUAGCUGUUACCCCUGUCCUUUCAUUUCCCUGGUGACUCUUGCUGCCUUAACUGGUAACUGGUGUUGUCAUUUUACAGACUGUAGCUUCACAGAAAGCUACCUGCGUAAAGCUACAAUGACUGGAGAACUCUGUCCUGGUCAUACAGAUCUCAGAAAUUGGUUCCAUUGUCUGCUGGUUGUUCCAGAGAAAAAUGACUGAUCCUGAACUGUCCUGGAAAAGACCUUGACACUUUCGCUGCUAUUGUAGCAGCCAUUACUGCUGCAGACAUUGUGUCUGCAGUGUCUGGAGUUAUCCUCCCCCAAUCUAUUGUUAGACAAGUACAGUGGGUGAACUUUCUGGAGUAGUUACUAACAAUUGGAAAUUCUAAAUUUCAUUAUAGGAGUGGCUUGACCACGGCCCUUGGUGGCAACAGCUGAGGAGGACCAUAUGAGGUGCCCACUACUUAUCGGGAGUGGCUCUGUCUGAUGCAGCCCUAUGCUGUGGAUCAGUGUUCAUACUAUGGUUGGUUUACAAACUCAGAUCUCAACAGUAACAUGACAAGGCCGUUAUCACUCAAGCACUUGCAGCCAUUUGAACAAAGGGCCUCACCUGGAAUUUGGUCAUCUUGUUCAGGAUUUACUCUGUAUUUGAGUUCCCUGCUCCUGCACCCCAUGGACCUGUGGGUCCAUUGCACUGGGAGGAGAGGGAUACUCUCUGUAUCUGAGUUCUCUGCUCCUGCACCCCAUGGAUCUGUGGAUCCAUUGCACUGGGAUUGAGAGAGACUCAGUGUUCCUUUGAUCAGCCAUUGCACAUCGCUGAGGUUUCCUCAUUGCACGCAAUAGGGUGAUCAUUUCUGCUAUAAAAUUAUAAUUAUAAGGGUGAGAUGUAGAGGGCCGCAAUAACAUGCGCGACCAUUAGAUGGCGCUGGCUUCCACUGCGCCCCACGUGGAAGGCCAAGUCAGUCAAGAUGGCGCCAGCCUUUGCUGCGCCAGCUGGCCCCCCUAUCAGGAAGUUAACUGUGCGCAUGUGCAAGAGUGCCUUCCUGCCAGGUCUUUGCCCAUUCCAGGGCGUGCCUGAUGAGAUCAUGAGUAAACAACCAAUCAGGCGUGGAUGCGUGCCCGAGGGUUAAAUAGGCACGCCUGGCUGGCGCGCGGGGCUUCUCCAUGAGAUAGGAAUAAAGUAUCACUCAUAGCAAG
rnacentral:lncRNA from 1 species